GUGGGGAAUCUUGCGCAAUGGGGGCAACCCUGACGCAGCCAUGCCGCGUGAAUGAUGAAGGCCUUAGGGUUGUAAAGUUCUUUUGCCCGUGACGAUGAUGACGGUAACGGGAGAAUAAGCUCCGGCUAACUUCGUGCCAGCAGCCGCGGUAAUACGAAGGGGGCUAGCGUUGUUCGGAAUUACUGGGCGUAAAGCGCGCGCAGGCGGUUCGAUAAGUUAGGGGUGAAAUCCCCGGGCUCAACCCGGGAAUGGCCUUUAAGACUGUCGAGCUAGAGGACGAGAGAGGUGAGUGGAAUUCCCAGUGUAGAGGUGAAAUUCGUAGAUAUUGGGAAGAACACCGGUGGCGAAGGCGGCUCACUGGCUCGUUUCUGACGCUGAGGCGCGAAAGCGUGGGGAGCAAACAGGAUUAGAAACCCCGGUAGUCC
rnacentral:rRNA from 1 species